CAGGUAGGACAGCUUCACCAUCUCAGACAGACAGACAGGUAGGACAGCUUCACCAUCUCAGACAGACAGACAGGUAGGACAGACCGGUAGGACAGCUUCACCAUCUCAGACAGACAGACAGGUAGGACAGCUUCACCAUCUCAGACAGACAGACAGGUAGGACAGACAGGUAGGACAGACCGGUAGGACAGCUUCACCAUCUCAGACAGACAGACAGGUAGGACAGCUUCACCAUCUCAGACAGACAGACAGGUAGGACAGACAGGUAAGACAGCUUCACCAUCUCAGACAGACAGACAGGUAGGUAGGAAAGACGGGUAGGACAGCUUCACCAUCUCAGACAGACAGACAGGUAGGACAGACAGGUAGGACAGACCGGUAGGACAGCUUCACCAUCUCAGACAGACAGACAGGUAGGACAGCUUCACCAUCUCAGACAGACAGACAGGUAGGACAGACAGGUAGGACAGACCGGUAGGACAGCUUCACCAUCUCAGACAGACAGACAGGUAGGACAGCUUCACCAUCUCAGACAGACAGACAGAAGACAGACAGACAGACAGACAGACAUAGGACAGCUUCACCAU